UCCCCUAGUAAUGGCGAAUGAAGAGGGAUCAGCUCAACUUGAAAAUCUCCGUUGUGUUGCAACGGCGAAUUGUAGUUUCGAGAAGUACUUUCCCGGCGCGUCGAGUUUGCCUAAGUUGCUUGGAACAGCACGUCAUAGAGGGUGACAACCCCGUACGUGGCAAUGCUCGAGCGCUCGCGAUGUGCUUUCGAAGAGUCGGGUUGUUUGGGAAUGCAGCCCAAAACGGGUGGUAAACUCCAUCUAAAGCUAAAUACAGGCACGAGACCGAUAGCGAACAAGUACCGUGAGGGAAAGAUGAAAAGGACUUUGAAAAGAGAGUUAAAAAGUACGUGAAACCGUUGAAAGGGAAGCGAAUGGAGUUAGCAAUUCGCCCUGCCAGAUUCAGUUGCUCGUGCUUCGCGACGUGCGCGCUCUCGAUCCGCAUGGACGAGACGUGUGCGGGUGCGAUGUGCGGACGGCGCACUUCUGGCGGGCGAGCGUCAGCGUCGGUUGUCGACGGGCGAUAAGGACGCAAGGAAGGUGGACCUGCCUCACGGCCGGUUGUUACAGCCUUGUGCUCGUAUAGCUCGAUGGCGACUGUGGCUCUUGGAGGCGACGCGUGCCUAGCUGGCGACUCGAACGAUCGGUCUGGCAUGUCGACCGUGGCGGACGGCACGCCUGUGCGCUCGAACUGCUGCCAGUCGAUCGGAACGAUGUUCGCACACUACGCGUCGAAGAUGCUGACGACCAUACGGCUCCAUCCGACCCGUCUUGAAACACGGACCAAGGAGUCUAACAUGUGCGCAAGUCUCUGGGUGAUCGAAACCCGUGGGCAUAAUGAAAGUAAAGAUCGUCCUAGACGAUUGAGGUGAGAAGCAAACACUCCGGUGCUUGCCGCAUCAUCGACCGACCUAUUCUGCUCUCAGGAAGGUUUGAGUAAGAGCGUACCUGUUGGGACCCGAAAGAUGGUGAACU
rnacentral:rRNA from 1 species